UACCGCGUUACUAAUAUAAUAUCAGUGGAUGUAAAUAGAUUCUCACCUGUUCACUUUCCAACAGAAAAUUCCUUUGUUAAUGAAUCACUGAGUAUUGAAGAGAAACCAGGAGCACUUGUAACAGGCAUUAUGUUAAAUAUUUCUACUGAAGUGGCUGCUACAAGUUGUCAAGUAAUGACAAGUAAUGAAUACAGUACACCAAAUGUUUUUGAAGAUAAUUCAGAUUAUAAAAAUCAUGGGGUACCAGAAGUAAUGCCAAGCACUUGUAAUAAA